rnacentral:lncRNA from 1 species
GGAAUACUUUCUGUUCUAGGUCGCCCACCAGUAAAAUGCGGGAAUACUUUCUGUUCUAGGUCGCCCACCAGUAAAAUGCGGGAAUACUUUCUGUUCUAGGUCGCCCACCAGUAAAAUGCAGGAAUACUUUCUGUUCUAGGUCGCCCACCAGUAAAAUGCGGGAAUACUUUCUGUUCUAGGUCGCCCACCUGUAAAAUGCGGGAAUACUUUCUAUUCUAGGACGCCCACUAGUAUAAUGCGGGAAUAUUUUUAGGCUUAUAUUGCAGAUUUUGAAAUCAGUAAC